rnacentral:rRNA from 1 species
UACAGAGGUCUCAAGCGUUGUUCGGAUUCAUUGGGCGUAAAGGGUGCGUAGCGGCGCCGUAAGUCAGGUGUGAAAUCUCGGGGCUCAACCCCCGAAACUGCACUUGAUACUGCGGUGCUAGAGGACUCGAGAGGAGAUUGGAAUUCACGGUGUAGCAGUGAAAUGCGUAGAUAUCGUGAGGAAGACCAGUGGCGAAGGCGGAUCUCUGGAGAGUUCCUGACGGCUGAGGCACGAAGGCCAGGGGAGCAAACGGGG